rnacentral:rRNA from 1 species
AAAUUGAAGAGUUUGAUCAUGGCUCAGAUUGAACGCUGGCGGCAGGCCUAACACAUGCAAGUCGAACGGUAACAGGAAUCAGCUUGCUGAUUCGCUGACGAGUGGCGGACGGGUGAGUAAUGUCUGGGAAACUGCCUGAUGGAGGGGGAUAACUACUGGAAACGGUAGCUAAUACCGCAUAAUGUCGCAAGACCAAAAAGGGGGACCUUCGGGCCUCUUGCCAUCAGAUGUGCCCAGAUGGGAU